GCACCUAUGACUAGCAAUCUCCCACUUGACCUAAAGCCAAUCACCUAUGUGUCUGAUCCCCAUCAGACUCCUGUGACGCUCAAAGACAAUCUGAGACAACGACUUUGUUAGUGGAUCUGCAAUGUUAUCUUCGGAUGGAACUCUUUCCACUGCUACAUCUCCUCGGGUUACGAUCUCUCUGAUAAGUUGGAACCUCCUCAGAACACUUCUGAUGAGACCCGGGUUC
rnacentral:lncRNA from 1 species